rnacentral:rRNA from 1 species
CCUACGGGGGGCUGCAGUGAGGAAUAUUGGUCAAUGGACGCAAGUCUGAACCAGCCAUGCCGCGUGCAGGAAGACGGCUCUAUGAGUUGUAAACUGCUUUUGUACGAGGGUAAACGCAGAUACGCGUAUCUGUCUGAAAGUAUCGUACGAAUAAGGAUCGGCUAACUCCGUGCCAGCAGCCGCGGUAAUACGGAGGAUUCAAGCGUUAUCCGGAUUUAGUGGGUUUAAAGGGUGCGUAGGCGGUCGGAUAAGUUAGAGGUGAAAUCCCGAGGCUCAACUUCGGAAUUGCCUCUGAUACUGUUCGGCUAGAGAGUAGUUGCGGUAGGCGGAAUGUAUGGUGUAGCGGGGAAAUGCUUAGAGAUCAUACAGAACACCGAUUGCGAAGGCAGCUUACCAAGCUACUUCUGACGUUGAGGCACGAAAGCGUGGGGAGCAAACAGGAUUAGAUACCCCAGUAGUC